GGAUACCACUUGGAAACAGGUGCUAAUACCGCAUAACCAUAGUUACCGCAUGGUAACUAUGUAAAAGGUGGCUAUGCUACCGCUUUUGGAUGGGCCCGCGGCGCAUUAGCUAGUUGGUGGGGUAAAGGCUUACCAAGGCAAUGAUGCGUAGCCGAACUGAGAGGUUGAUCGGCCACAUUGGGACUGAGACACGGCCCAAACUCCUACGGGAGGCAGCAGUAGGGAAUCUUCCACAAUGGGCGAAAGCCUGAUGGAGCAACGCCGCGUGGGUGAAGAAGGUCUUCGGAUCGUAAAACCCUGUUGUUAGAGAAGAAAGUGCGUGAGAGUAACUGUUCACGUUUCGACGGUAUCUAACCAGAAAGCCACGGCUAACUACGUGCCAGCAGCCGCGGUAAUACGUAGGUGGCAAGCGUUAUCCGGAUUUAUUGGGCGUAAAGGGAACGCAGGCGGUCUUUUAAGUCUGAUGUGAAAGCCUUCGGCUUAACCGGAGUAGUGCAUUGGAAACUGGGAGACUUGAGUGCAGAAGAGGAGAGUGGAACUCCAUGUGUAGCGGUGAAAUGCGUAGAUAUAUGGAAGAACACCAGUGGCGAAAGCGGCUCUCUGGUCUGUAACUGACGCUGAGGUUCGAAAGCGUGGGUAGCAAACAGGAUUAGAUACCCUGGUAGUCCACGCCGUAAACG
rnacentral:rRNA from 1 species